GACGAACGCUGGCGGCGUGCUUAACACAUGCAAGUCUAGGGGGCCCAGCAAUGGGUCACCGGCGAACGGGUGCGUAACACGUGAGCGACCUACCUUGAGAUGGGGGAUAGCCGGCCCAACGGCCGGGUAAUACCGCAUACGCUCUUCGGGCUUCAUGGCUUGGAGAGGAAAGCUUUAGCGUCUCUAGAGGGGCUCGCGGC
rnacentral:rRNA from 1 species